UACACAUCUUUCAUAUGAUGAAUACCAUGCGAACCAAGUACUUUUAGGAAGAGCCGGAAGAGGUAUGGCAACCGUUACCACAUGGGACGGGUUAAUUUAAUUAUUUGUGUCGUCGAUGCUUAUAACGGUUCUGCUGAAGAAAGCUGUGUA
rnacentral:snoRNA from 1 species